GGGAGGUAGUGACAAUAAAUAACAAUACAGGGUCCUUUCGGGUCUUGUAAUUGGAAUGAGUACAAUUUAAAUCUCUUAACGAGGAACAAUUGGAGGGCAAGUCUGGUGCCAGCAGCCGCGGUAAUUCCAGCUCCAAUAGCGUAUAUUAAAGUUGUUGCAGUUAAAAAGCUCGUAGUUGAAUUUCGGGAUCAAUACGUCGGUCGUGCUUUCGGGUACGUACUGGCGUCAUUGGUUUCUCCUUUCUGACGAACCAUGAUGUCAUUAAUUUGGUGUUAUGGGGAGUUAGGACUGUUACUUUGAAAAAUUAGAGUGUUUAAAGCAGGCAUUAGCUUGAAUACAUUAGCAUGGAAUAAUGAAAUAGGACGUUCGAUCCUAUUUUGUUGGUUUCUAGGAUUGACGUAAUGAUUAAUAGGGAUAGUUGGG
rnacentral:rRNA from 1 species